GAUGAACGCUAGCGGCAGGCCUAAUACAUGCAAGUCGGACGGGAUUCAGGAGCUUGCUUCUGAUGAGAGUGGCGCACGGGUGCGUAACACGUAUGUAACCUACCUUUAUCAGGGGGAUAGCCUCUCGAAAGAGAGAUUAAGCCCGCAUAAAAUCACAGCACAGCAUUGUGUAAUGAUCAAAUAUUUAUAGGAUAAAGAUGGGCAUGCGGAACAUUAGCUAGAUGGCGGGGUAACGGCCCACCAUGGCGACGAUGUUUAGGGGAUCUGAGAGGAUGGCCCCCCACACUGGUACUGAGACACGGACCAGACUCCUACGGGAGGCAGCAGUAAGGAAUAUUGGUCAAUGGGCGGAAGCCUGAACCAGCCAUGCCGCGUGCAGGAAGACGGCCAUACGGGUUGUAAACUGCUUUUAUACGGGAAUAAACCCAGAUACGUGUAUCUGGCUGAAGGUACUGUAAGAAUAAGGAUCGGCUAACUCCGUG
rnacentral:rRNA from 1 species